ACGUGAUCUGAGUUCAGACCGGAGUAAUCCAGGUCGGUUUCUAUCUAUAAGGGGCUUUUUCUAGUACGAAAGGACCGAAAAAGCACGGCCCAUGCUCAAGGUAAGCCGCACCUACCAAUUUAUGACUCAAACUUAAUAACCAACUAACCUUCUACUGAAUUCUAAACAAGAAUA
rnacentral:rRNA from 1 species